GCGAGGUGCGGGGAGACGGCUGCAGGGGCUCCCGCCGGCCCGGCAGCAGCGCCGCGGCCGCGCGAGGCGUUUGGUGUCGGCUGCGGGCCGUCCCGCCAGGGCCCUCUGACGUGCUGCGUGUGCACAGGUGGCUGCGCGGUGCCCGUCAGUGCGCCGCCCGUGGCGGGGUCUGUGUUCGGGGACGGGUGUGUUUGUGGCUGCAGUUGCCGCAGUUCGUCCCGGCCCUCCAGACUUCCCCAGCCCCACUCUCGGCCUCGUGGUCCUGGCACGCCCGCUGCUUCUGCCCCGGAUGCUUCCUCUGGGCUCCGCCCCCAGCACGUCCACGUCACGCCUGCUGCCUUAGUCCUGCAGAAAUCCUGCGCUUUGGAUUUGUGCCACCUUCUGUAAGUUGAAAGCUUCUGGACCAAGUGCGGCAGUGAGAUGGAGUCAGAAGAGGAGGUAUUGCCAUCAGAGAGUCAGCAAAGGUGGUUGACCAAGCCCAAAGGAGGGUGCUGAGGGGAGUUGAUGACCUGGACUUUUUCAUAGGGGAUGAAGCCAUAGAUAAACCCACGUAUGCCAUAAAGUGGCCAAUAAGACAUGGAAUAAUUGAAGACUGAGAUCUAAUGGAGAGGUUCAUUGAACAAGUUAUUUUUAAUUUUCCCUGAGCUGAACCUGAGGGCCAUCACUUUUUGAUGAGUUUUAGAAUUAAGACUCUCUUCCUCAGAAACCUUCCUAGCAGAUUUGCCCUGUCUGUCCGUGCCCAGUGUGGGCCCUAGAGGGGAACAAAAUUACUUUGGUACAUUUUGAUGAGUCAAGAUUCUCUCCUGUUGCUGGUGAGGGGACCACAUCUCAUCACCUGGCCCCAAGAGACAGAACCUCCUCUGAAUACACCAGAAAAUAAAGAAUAUCUUGCAGAAAUUAUGUUCAAAUUAUUUAAUGUACCGGGACUCUACAUUGCAGUUCAGGUGGAAGGUUAGGUAAUUGGAAGCUGCAUCAAACACAUCCCUAUUGCAGGUAGAGAUAUGUAUUUCAUUCAACAGCCGCCAAGUGAGAGGGAGGUGGGAAUCCCUCCUGAGCAACCACUGGAGACCACAAAGGCCAUUAAGGAGAAGUACUGUCACAUUUGCCCCAAUAUAGUCAAGAAGUUUGCCAAGUAUGACGUGGAUCAGCGGAAGUGGAUCAAACAGCAAACAGGGAACAGUGCCAUAAGCCAGAAGAAGUUCAUUAUCGAUGUUGGCUAGGAAAGUUUCCCAGGCCCUGAAAUUUUCUUUCACCCAGAGAUACUGAUUAACAUGCCAAGUAUAAUGCCUGGCCCAGGAAGCUCAGGAGAUGAAUCAAAUAACUUGACCAUGAAGGAGCACUGAGGAGGAGGCAGAGAUGAUCUCUGGCAUGGUGUAUAAAAGAAAGCACUGGAGUUCUGGAGAGGUGAGGCAGAAUACGAAGGUAAACAGGAAUCAUUAUUCCUUUUCUCAGAGGUAUGUAAUCUACAGGGGAAGCAUGCAGCACCUGAAAGGGGAGGAGAGGUUUGUGGGCCACGCAGGGUUGAAGGAGGAGCAUAGGAACAUGGGUCUGGGAAAGUUUGGCUAGCUUUACAGUGCUCAAUUGAAAUACUACUUUGGAAUAUUUUCUCAACACCAGGGUUCAAGUUUGUUAGUCUUACUGAUACAUCAGGUCAGAAGAAAAGAACAAAAGUGAGAAGGCAUUCAUGGCUUUGCAUUCUCAGAAAGUCAUCCUGCUGGUUCAACUCUAGUUUUAACGUGAGCUCUCCUCGGGCCUGGGAGAAAUUCUGAGAAUGACCCCUGAGAAUGAGCUCAGUGGUGAGAAGUCCAAGGACAGGAUGAGGUCGACAUUGCAAGUGUUUUUGGAAUAAGAAUCAACACACUUAAAGACUGGGAUUUGGAAGUGAGAAGGAGUACAUGGAAGUGAUUCAGGAAGACAAGGAAAUGAGACACAAGUGGCAACAUUUGUCAAAGUUCGAUGCAUUUGUUCCUUUGGAUUCAAGUGAAACAUCUGGAGUCAAUUCUUAACCCAAUGUUGGUUUGUUCUCACCAACCUCUUUGCCCUGCUAUUGGACUCAGUAAGAACCUUGUCAUCUGUAAAGCUGUAAGAGGACCCUUACCAAGAAAAUAACAAUGCUGGCACAGUGCUUUUGGACUUACAGCCUCCAGGACUGGGAGAAAUAAAUGUUUGUUUUAGGGAAGAAAGAUAGAGGGCUGUCACCAGAAGCAAGGAACAGAGGAAGUAAAUUUCCAAAGGAUCUGGUAGAAGAAUUGGUCUAACUGUGUUCCUCAUGAGAAAAGUAUUCUGUUGGAAGACAUGUAAUAAAACAGCAGUCACAAGAUUUGAUUUAUUCACAGCUCUGAAAACUCUGGAAGACCAUGGGGAAGUUCCCUAACCUCCUUUGGGUAUUUCAUCUGAGCUGUUGGAGUUGCAUUACCUAAUCUCUCUUGUUCCUUGAAGCUGCCACAUUCAGUGAUUCUGUCUUCAAUGAUAGAUACAACAAGGAGCAACCAAAGCUGAAAGUGGCCUGAGAUGUGGAUCUGAAAAGAGAAAUUUUGGUUCCCAGCCAUAGGAGUGUGUUCACAGAAAAGAAGCCAGCUAAAGAAUGUCUUGGGUGUUCUGGACAGGCUUGGAAUCCACAGAAGUAUUUAUUUCAAGAGGAUAUCUAUACUGAUUUUUCAUUGAAGGUCAAAGGGAGUUCCAGAUAAACUGCCUGAGUUCUGGCAGUCAAAAAAGAAGGAAAUGUAGUCCUUUGAAACUCUGUCCCUCAUGAGAACAUGGACUACUUUAUCCUUGAGUGAGAGAUGAGCCGUGGGACCGGUAACAACACUUCUAGGCUUCAUUCUUCAAGGGGAGGCGACAUAAAGUAAAUACUAAGACAGAUUACCACAAGGUUCCUCUGGAACUCCUGCUUGUCUUCCUUGAAGGAGUGCUCCAUGAAGACUGCAGGGGCUUCCCUCUCACAGGCAGCAUGCUCCUCCAGCAGCUCCUGCAGCAUGUCUGUGGGGAAGCACACUCGCUGGGCUAUCUGCUCGCUGUAGUGGUUGUCUGCCUUCUGAAUGGCAGCUGAGUUCUCCAGCUGGGCCAGAGUUGUCACUGCGUUCUCCAAGAGAGGUACUUCUCCACUAUUGAUAGUAUCCAGGUAGGUCACAACCAGAGUCCUCAGCCCUGAAGAAGCCAGGAAAUUUAGGGGCUAAAUAUCAAGUUAUCAAUCAAUGGCUCCAGGAUUCUGAGACUAUGCUUCUAGGGUCAUAUACACAUGCACACACACAAACACACACACGCACCCCUAACUCCUUCUACUAUUAUCACCUUCAUUUUCCUACUGACUCUUCAUUUUUAUGGUUUUCCAGGCCACAGGACUAAAAAGGUUAAUAUCUACUUCUAUCUAACAUACUAGGGGCUACCUGGAAAAUACAGUUUCUCAUUUUAAAAAUUGAAAGCAAUACAGAUUACAUAGAUAGACAGAUGAGGCAAAGUGUACUAUGUUUAAUUUAUUCCUAAUUCUGAGGCUUUGAAUGGAUUUUCAGAGAUUUAUGGGCUAAUAUUUAUUUUUGGACCACUCUAAAUUCUCAAAUUAUCUUUUGAAUUCUCCUUGUGAAGAACAAUUAUUGUAUAGGACUUUUUUGAAAACAUGCAGUAUUCUGUUUUUACACCAAGAGAGUGAAUAUAUUCUAAGUGGAGGAUGUUUUCAGAUAAGUGGGAGUCACCGAUAUCAUUGACAAAAGUUGAAAUUUGGGGAAGGAAUUUGUAAAUCCCCCAAAGUGAGAUAAUUAUAAAGUAUACAGAUUUCUUCAUGGAGUAUAAAAGUCUGUAAAAUCAGAAUCCUUUAUAGAAUCAAACAAAAAUACUAGAAAGCACAUUAUAUAAAAUAUUCAACACAUAGCAGUCCCCAUGGAAAUGGGAAAAAGAGACUCACCUUUCCCAGUGACCAUGAUUCCUUCUGUGAGGGUCUUGGUCCUUGCUUCAGUGAAGAUGUAAGAACAGAAAUUUUUUGUUUGCUCCUGGAAUUUAGGAUCCAGUUGGUCUUCAGAUGCCAUCCCAAUAUUGGCUAGAAUUUUUUUUCCUAUGUUGGCCAGUCAAAGACAAAACACUUCCAUCUUGGAAAUAAAUGCCUGAUGCAGUCUCUGGGUAGAUUGGAUGUUUGGGCUUUGGGAUUCUUCCCUGAGGGACAGAAAAACAGGGAUUAGAGUGUGUAGAGUCUUGAGGCGAGGGGGUUACAGGUGUUCAUGGCAGGGAUUUGUGUGUCUUUGCCAUUUCUACACAUAGAACUGUUUUAACAUAGACAUUCAAUACUUCUUUGCACAUCAGACUUAUACCAAUGAUAUAACUGCAGAGAAAUUUAGGGAGACAUCUGACCCAGUAAAGGAAACCUAUGGCUGGUCUCUCCAGACAUGCACAUAGUAGAGUGGUUGUCUAUGAUGUGUUUGCUUAACUAGCAGCUAAAAGGAUGAAAGGUCACAUGAAACUUUCUGCUCAAUUCAACCUCAUGUAGGAAUUGAGCUGUGGAACCAAAAAGGAGAGCUACAAACAAGGGAUCAUGGACAGUAAUUGGAAUAUUAGGAAUGACAUCCUCAUUAUUUAAGAAAAACUGUUUUGAUGCUAAAAAUAUUUGAUGCAGUGUUAUGUAUUUAUUAGUAAAAACCUCUGAAGUAUAAAUGUACCUGAAAUAUAAUUUUAAGGUAUCACCUCUAAUCUAUAAACUCUUUGAGGUAAAUGUUUAUAUCUGGUCCUCUCCUGCCAGCCAAUUUCUUAAUAGCUGUUUUGAGAAAUCAUAAAUAGAAACAUGAAAGGAAGAAUGACUAAAUUGGGAUUGAUAUUUCUCUCAAGGUUUCAAUAGACACACAUCCUUGGAAAUGUAACCCAUGAAAAUAAUUUUUUACCUUGUAAUUAAUUCAUGGGUAAACAUGUGGGAAUUAGGAGAAAGCUAUGAUGUGGAAGGUAAAAUGAAUAUUCUAAUAAUUGUCAGUAUUAUUGAAAAGGCAUAGAUUGUAAAGACAGUCACUUCUUCAGGUUUAUUUAGAACAUACAGUCAUUUUGUAGAUGAUAUAAUUAUACAUGAUUAGAAAGUUUUCUAGCCCUCUUUGAAAAGAAUAAUACGUGAAAUCUAUAUUUUGUUCAUUAGGUAAGCUUUUCACUGCAGUUUCAUGUCUAACAAUUAGCUGAUUAGUUGUUUUCUUCAACAGAGAAAAAUUGAUGGAACAGGAAACACAGUGUCCAGUCUUUAGAAUGUUUCAUCACCCAUGUAAAUCUGGAUGCUAAAUUUAAAGAUGUAUAAAAAACAAAUUGGUUUUGAGUAAUUUCACUUUACACUUUACUUUUCUUGAGUAAACUUCAACUGUAGCCCCUAGAUCUUUGCAACCCACUUUCCAGCCACCAUUUCCACAGACUUUGAUUUAGUCUCAAAUACAAAUGCAAUCACAGAGAUGAGGGAUAUUGUUUAGUAGAUCCCACACUCUAUUGGACCGUACACUGCCCAGGCCAUACUCUGAUACCUGGAAUCAGCUUCAGGGCAUUCUCCAAGUACUCAUCUUCUGUGAUAGGCUGACCACAUAACUGCAGCUCCAUGGUGAAAUACCAUACAGUCCAGAUAAAGUCUGGAAAGAAAUUCACAAAUUCUGUGGAAUCUUCUACUCUAUCAGGUGUUUGAGAGGACUUUGCCCUGAUGUUUUGCAAGCUCUGUCGCAUAACUAACAUUUGGUUAGGGAAAAGAAACUCACUACCAACAAUUCCCACAUUUCUCUAGUAUAAAAAUAUUAUAAACACACUCUUUUGCCAUGGGUCCCCUCUGUUCCACCCAAGAAACUAAAUGACAGGAAGGGAGAGACUGACUCUAUCCUCAUCCCCAUGAAUUCAUUGAAACAUGGUGGUUCAGGACCUGGAAGGAUACUGCAGAUGCUCCAGGGCCUGGUGGUUAAUGGUGCUCAUGCUGUUCUAGACAAAGCUACUGCAGAGAACCACAGCCAGGGCAAAGAUCCAUGAAUCAUUCUUAGACUCAUCCUAGAAAGCACAUUAGAACAAGAGAGUUAGAAGUUUACCCCUACAUUAGAAAUUCAUCUGUACACUUCUUCAAUCAUGGUUUCAUUUAUUAUUUCAGCUAACAUACUCACCAUGCAAAGAAAUUGAAGACAGAUGUAAAUGCAGAUAUCAACUUUGACAAUUACAGAGACAUUUCUUGUGUUUGCAAAUUUUUCAUAUAUAAAAGGAUUCUAGUGUUCACAGUGCUUUCUUUUUCCUCAAUUGGUUAAAGUAAAAUAACAUAUACAGAAAAACUAAUACAGUACCUGUUGUGUAAUUAGGAAUUCAGUGAUGAGUGUGGGCACUUAUUCAUUCUGCAUAUAUUUAUUAAUCAGAGUCCAUAUAAAAUAUACCAUAGUUGGCAUAACUGGGUAUUUAAAUUAUAUGCAAUCAAUAAAUACUUGCAGGAAGCUACUAAAUAUCCCCCACUGUUCUUAGAUUUUAAAAAAGCAAUGCUAAAAAUGAAAAUUUUCUUUCAAC